CCUACGGGAUGCACCAGGGGGGAAUUUUCCGCAAUGGGCGAAAGCCUGACGGAGCAAUGCCGCGUGGAGGUGGAAGGCCUACGGGCCGUGAACUUCUUUCCCCGGAGAAGAAGCAAUGACGGUAGCGGGGGAAUAAGCAUCGGCUAACUCUGUGCCAGCAGCCGCGGGAAUACAGAGGAUGCAAGCGUUAUCCGGAAUGAUUGGGCGUAAAGCGUCUGUAGGUGGCUUUUUAAGUCCGCCGUCAAAUCCCAGGGCUCAACCCUGGACAGGCGGUGGAAACUACCAAGCUGGAGUACGGUAGGGGCAGAGGGAAUUUCCGGUGGAGCGGUGAAAUGCGUAGAGAUCGGAAAGGACACCAACGGCGAAAGCACUCUGCUGGGCCGACACUGACACUGAGAGACGAAAGCUAGGGGAGCGAAUGGGAUUAGAUACCCCUGUAGUC
rnacentral:rRNA from 1 species